UACGAAGGGGGCUAGCGUUGCUCGGAAUCACUGGGCGUAAAGGGUGCGUAGGCGGGUCUUUAAGUCAGGGGUGAAAUCCUGGAGCUCAACUCCAGAACUGCCUUUGAUACUGGCGAUCUUGAGUCCGGGAGAGGUGAGUGGAACUGCGAGUGUAGAGGUGAAAUUCGUAGAUAUUCGCAAGAACACCAGUGGCGAAGGCGGCUCACUGGCCCGGUACUGACGCUGAGGUGCGAAAGCGUGGGAGCA
rnacentral:rRNA from 1 species